AGUCGAACGGGAUCCUUCGGGAUUUAGUGGCGGACGGGUGAGUAACGCGUGAGAAUCUGCCCUUAGGUUGGGGACAACAGUUGGAAACGACUGCUAAUACCCAAUGUGCCGAGAGGUGAAAGGUUAACUGCCUGGGGAUGAGCUCGCGUCUGAUUAGCUAGUUGGAGUGGUAACGGCACACCAAGGCGACGAUCAGUAGCUGGUCUGAGAGGAUGAUCAGCCACACUGGGACUGAGACACGGCCCAGACUCCUACGGGAGGCAGCAGUGGGGAAUUUUCCGCAAUGGGCGAAAGCCUGACGGAGCAAGACCGCGUGAGGGAGGAAGGCCUAUUGGUUGUAAACCUCUUUUGAUAGGGAAGAACACAAUGACGGUACCUAUCGAAUCAGCAUCGGCUAACUCCGUGCCAGCAGCCGCGGUAAUACGGAGGAUGCAAGCGUUAUCCGGAUUUAUUGGGCGUAAAGCGUCCGUAGGUGGCAAACCAAGUCAGUUGUUAAAGCGUAGAGCUUAACUCUAUAAGGGCAAUUGAAACUGGUUAGCUAGAGUGCGAUAGGGGCAAGGGGAAUUCCCAGUGUAGCGGUGAAAUGCGUAGAUAUUGGGAAGAACAUCGGUGGCGAAGGCGCCUUGCUGGGUCUGCACUGACACUGAGGGACGAAAGCUAGGGGAGCGAAAGGGAUUAGAUACCCCUGUAGUCCUAGCUGUAAACGAUGGGUACUAGGUGUUGACCGUAUCGACCCGAGCCGUGCCGAAGC
rnacentral:rRNA from 1 species